GACGUAGGGCGCGAGCGUUGUCCGGAUUUAUUGGGCGUAAAGGGCUCGUAGGCGGCCAACUAAGUCAGACGUGAAAUCCCUCGGCUUAACCGAGGAACUGCCGUCCAAACUGCUUCGCUUGAGACCGGGAGAGGUGAGUGGAAUUCCCAGUGUAGCGGUGAAAUGCGUAGAUAUUGGGAGGAACACCAGUGGCGAAGGCGGCUCACUGGACUGGUACUGACGCUGAGGCGCGAAAGCGUGGGGAGCAAACGGG
rnacentral:rRNA from 1 species